CACGUAGUUAGCCGGGGCUUCUUAGUCAGGUACCGUCAUUCUCUUCCCUGCUGAUAGAGCUUUACAUACCGAAAUACUUCUUCACUCACGCGGCGUUGCUGCAUCAGGGUUUCCCCCAUUGUGCAAUAUUCCCCACUGCUGCCUCCCGUAGAAGUUUGGGCCGUGUCUCAGUCCCAAUGUGGCCGGCCACCCUCUCAGGUCGGCUACUGAUCGUCGCCUUGGUGGGCCGUUACCUCACCAACCAGCUAAUCAGACGCGGGUCCAUCUCAUACCACCGGAGUUUUUCACACCAGACCAUGCGGUCCUGUGCGCUUAUGCGGUAUUAGCAGUCAUUUCUAACUGUUAUCCCCCUGUACUGAGGCAGGUUACCCACGCGUUAACUCACCCGUCCGCCGCUCAGUCAUACACGCUUCCAUCCGAAAACUUCCCACAUCUAUGCUUCGCUCGACUUUGCAUGUGUUAAGCACGCCGUCCAGCGUUCAUCCUGACGCCAGGUA
rnacentral:rRNA from 1 species